UACAGAGGUCUCAAGCGUUGUUCGGAUUCAUUGGGCGUAAAGGGUGCGUAGGUGGCGGGGCAAGUUUGGUGUGAAAUCCCGAGGCUCAACCUCGGAACUGCACUGAAUACUGCCUUGCUUGAGCACUGGAGAGGGAACUGGAAUUUACGGUGUAGCAGUGAAAUGCGUAGAUAUCGUAAGGAAGACCAGUGGCGAAGGCGAGUUCCUGGGACAGUUGCUGACACUGAGGCACGAAGGCUAGGGGAGCAAACGGG
rnacentral:rRNA from 1 species